rnacentral:rRNA from 1 species
AGUGAACGCUGGCGGUAGGCCUAACACAUGCCAGUCGAACGGCAGCACAGUAAGAGCUUGCUCUUACGGGUGGCGAGUGGCGGACGGGUGAGGAAUACAUCGGAAUCUACUUUUUCGUGGGGGAUAACGUAGGGAAACUUACGCUAAUACCGCAUACGACCUACGGGUGAAAGCAGGGGAUCUUCGGAACUUGCGCGAUUGAAUGAGCCGAUGUCGGAUUAGCUAGUUGGCGGGGUAAAGGCCCACCAAGGCGACGAUCCGUAGCUGGUCUGAGAGGAUGAUCAGCCACACUGGAACUGAGACACGGUCCAGACUCCUACGGGAGGCAGCAGUGGGGAAUAUUGGACAAUGGGCGCAAGCCUGAUCCAGCCAUACCGCGUGGGUGAAGAAGGCCUUCGGGUUGUAAAGCCCUUUUGUUGGGAAAGAAAAGCAGCAGGUUAAUACCCCGCUGUUCUGACGGUACCCAAAGAAUAAGCACCGGCUAACUUCGUG